UACGAAGGGGGCUAGCGUUGUUCGGAAUUACUGGGCGUAAAGCGCACGUAGGCGGACUAUUAAGUCAGGGGUGAAAUCCCGGGGCUCAACCCCGGAACUGCCUUUGAUACUGGUAGUCUCGAGUCCGGAAGAGGUGAGUGGAAUUCCGAGUGUAGAGGUGAAAUUCGUAGAUAUUCGGAGGAACACCAGUGGCGAAGGCGGCUCUCUGGGACGGUACUGACGCUGAGACGCGAAAGCGUGGGGAGCAAACAGG
rnacentral:rRNA from 1 species